rnacentral:rRNA from 1 species
UACGGGGGGAGCAAGCGUUGUUCGGAUUUACUGGGCGUAAAGGGCGCGUAGGCGGUCGUGACAAGUCACUUGUGAAAUCUCCGGGCUUAACUCGGAACGGUCAAGUGAUACUGUCGGACUAGAGUACAGAAGGGGCAACUGGAAUUCUUGGUGUAGCGGUGAAAUGCGUAGAUAUCGAGAGGAACACCUGCGGCGAAGGCGGGUUGCUGGGCUGAUACUGACGCUGAGGCGCGGAAAGCCCAGGGGAGCGAACGGG